GGAGCAGGCCGGGCGGUCGCGGCGCGUGAGCGUCGAGGAAAGUCCGGGCUCCGCAGGGCAGGGUGCCGGGUAAUCCCCGGCGGGGGCGACCCCAGGGAUAGUGCCACAGAAACAUACCGCCUGACGGCUACAUCCGUCGGGUAAGGGUGAAACGGCGGGGCAAGAGCCCGCCGGCGGCCUGGUAACAGGUCGGCCAGGCAAACCCCACCCGGAGCAAGGCCAUAUAGGGGGAGAUGAGGCGGCCCGCUGAUCCCCGGGUAGGCCGCUUGAGGUCCCGGGUAACCGGUGAUCCCAGAGAGAUGACAGCCGCGCCGAGGUACCGCGAGGUAUCCCGGCGCACAGAACCCGGCUUACAGGCCUGCUCCCUCG
rnacentral:RNase_P_RNA from 1 species